rnacentral:misc_RNA from 1 species
AAAAAAGUUCUAGUAAGAGAAGCUAACAUACAAAUAACAAACAAGAAAAUAAGAAACGAAAAUCAAACAGAAUCCCAGAAAAUUCAGGCUUGGGAACCUGGAGUUCCUCUCUAUCUCUUUCACUGGUUCUAAAAUCUAGUAAUAUUUACGAAAAUGACACGAGAGGAUGAUUUAUACGGUGACAAGAGGGAGGAGAUAAAGGCGGAGAAAGGUGGUCGGAGGAGGAAACCGGCGAGAAGAGAGAGAGGUAGGGUAGGUAUGGAAAGAAGCGAAGAGUAGAAGAGAAGGUGAGGUCAUAAUAGGGAAAAUGAAAAAAAUUGGGGGCGUGAGUGGAG